CACGUAGGGUGCGAGCGUUUGUCCGGAAUUAUUGGGCGUAAAGAGCUCGUAGGCGGUGUGUCGCGUCGGCCGUGAAAACUUGCAGCUUAACUGUGGGCGUGCGGUCGAUACGGGGCAUCACUGGAGUUCGGCAGGGGAGACUGGAAUUCCUGGUGUAGCGGUGAAAUGCGCAGAUAUCAGGAGGAACACCGGUGGCGAAGGCGGGUCUCUGGGCCGAUACUGACGCUGGAGGAGCGAAAGCGUGGGGAGCGAACAGG
rnacentral:rRNA from 1 species